CCAUUGCGAAGGCGAUCUGCUGGAACUCAACUGACGCUAAGGCGCGAAAGCGUGGGGAGCAAACAGGAUUAGAUACCCUGGUAGUCCACGCCCUAAACGAUGUACACUAGUUGUUGGGAUGCUAGUCAUCUCAGUAAUGCAGCUAACGCAUUAAGUGUACCGCCUGGGGAGUACGGUCGCAAGAUUAAAACUCAAAGGAAUAGACGGGGACCCGCACAAGCGGUGGAGCAUGUGGUUUAAUUCGAAGAUACGCGAAGAACCUUACCUGGGCUUGAUAUCCUAAGAACCUUAUAGAGAUAUGAGGGUGCUAGCUUGCUAGAACUUAGAGACAGGUGCUGCACGGCUGUCGUCAGCUCGUGUCGUGAGAUGUUGGGUUAAGUCCCGCAACGAGCGCAACCCACGUAUUUAGUUGCUAACGGUUCGGCCGAGCACUCUAAAUAGACUGCCUUCGUAAGGAGGAGGAAGGUGUGGACGACGUCAAGUCAUCAUGGCCCUUAUGCCCAGGGCGACACACGUGCUACAAUGGCAUAUACAAUGAGACGCAAUACCGCGAGGUGGAGCAAAUCUAUAAAAUAUGUCCCAGUUCGGAUUGUUCUCUGCAACUCGAGAGCAUGAAGCCGGAAUCGCUAGUAAUCGUAGAUCAGCCAUGCUACGGUGAAUACGUUCCCGGGUCUUGUACUCACCGCCCGUCACACCAUGGGAGUUGAUUUCACUCGAAGCCGGAAUACUAAACUAGUUACCGUCCACAGUGGAAUCAGCGACUGGGGUGAAGUCGUAACAAGGUAACCGUAGGAGAACCUGCGGUUGGAUCACCUCCUUUCUA
rnacentral:rRNA from 1 species